rnacentral:lncRNA from 1 species
UUAGGUCAAAAAUAGCAUCAAACCUUGGUUAGCUCAUAAAUGCCAUAUACCUAGCUUAUGUUCCUCCUGAAUGACAUAAUGAGCUCAAAAUAAGACAAGUCUUGUAAUCAUCUUCUCCUUCAUCUUCUCCUUCAUCUUCUCCUUCUUCUUCUUGUCCUUCUUCUUCUUCUUCUUCUUCUUCUUCUUCUACUUCUUCUUCUCAUUCUCCUUCUUCUUCUUGUUCUCCUCCUCCUUCUUCUCCUCCUCCUCCUUUUUAUUCUUCUCCUUCUCCUUCUCCUUCUUCUUCUUUUUCUUCUUCUUCAUCUCCUUCGUCUUCUCCUUCUCCUUCUUCUUCUUCUUCUUCUCCUCCUCCUUCUUUUUAUCCUUCCCCUCCUUUUUAUUCUUCUUCUUCUCCUUCUUCCUUUUCUCCUUCUUCUUCUUCUUCUUCUUCUUCUUCUUCUUUUUCACCGUCUUCUUCUCCUUCUUCUUCUUCUUCUUCUCCUUCUUCUUCUUCUUCUUCUUCUUAGCUAGUAUACUCCAAAAUGACAUAAUUAG